UGUAAAUCAUAUUUAGCACUC
rnacentral:miRNA from 1 species